CAGGGACAAGAAAGAGCCAGAGGGCCAAGAGUGAUAGAUGUGCGAGGUGAUGCAGGAGCAGGCGGGGAGAAAACAGAAUGGAAGUAGGGCUCCCUCAGGAAUGAGGCUUUACCAGACUGGCUUGUGAAGCUGAGCAAGCACGGAGUAUAGGGGAGCAAGUGCCGAAAGGAUGUACUGAGAAAUCUAAACUGCGUCAACAGGAACAAGAAGGCAGAAAGGGAAAACAUGGAGAGGGCCUGCACUGUGGUCCCAAGAAAUGUGGGGCAUGAGUGGCUAACCUGGAACCCCAGACAGUGUCCGGAGACGAGGAGGUCAAGGUCAGCAUGUAUCAGGUGGGUCGUCAGCCUGAAAGUCAACACCACUGACAAGGCAGAGAGCAGAUCUUGAGAGCGAUGCAUGGUUCUGAUGCCAACAAACAACAGGAACAGCAACAGAAGAGCAGCGGGUGCUGGGACAAGGACCUCGGAGGGGCAGAGCUCUGACGCAAAGGUUCCUGGGGUCAGGGGGCAGCAUGGAGAACAGACACCAUCCCUCUCCACCAGCGAUCUGUGCCCGGGGAGCCCAAGUGGUCCAGGCAGCACGAAGCUUUAUGGAUCCAUAACUGCCUGGGGUUCAAACCUCAGCUUCUCUGCUUGGUGCUGUGGGACCUCCCUUCCACUUACCAUUGUCCACCAGGACAAAUCACAGACCCCCAGUGCCAGGAGCAGGGCAGAAUCCGGUAGAGAGGCGACCCCAUGGGGUGAAGUUGGUGCCAUGGGGACGGGGCGUUGGGUGUCACAAAGAAGAUGCAGCCCAGCGAAGGUGGGGGAGACAUGGUGAGCUCCCACGUGGAUUCAACAGCACCUCCUUCAGGCAUGUAGAGACACCCUCCGGGGCCACCUGGCCUAGCGCCAUCCCAGCCCCACACGGAGUUUCCUGGAGACAAGUACAGAUGCCGUGCACCUUCGAAUCCCCAAAGUGUGUCACCCGGUAGUUUCCUGGAACUCUGGACAAAGCCGUCAGGAGCAGGCAGGAAAAGCAGACGCAGGUCACUCCCUAGCCCUGCCCCAGAGCCCUCCCUGUCCCCCACCCCCUAGGCCUCACACACCUCCGCACACCAAACCAGAGCAGGCAGCGCUCCGCCCUCCCAGAUUUAGGGAUUCCUGGGAGGUGCAGGCCCGAGGGAAACAGCACAACGCUCCGUGCUCCGGGUCACUGCGCCCCCCCGGCCCGGACCCGCCCAGGCCCUGACCUGCCCCCCUAGCUGCGUGGCUGAGAUGGCUAGGCCACUGGUGCUUCAGUGCUGCGCAGCCUUGGGCAAAGGCUCUGGUUCUCAGGCGCCCCCACCGCACUGCUCACUGGCGAGAAAAGGCAGCGGCUCCGCACUCUGGAUCACACGGAGCGGGAGGUGAGAGGCAGAGGAAUCCGCCCCUGCCACAGCAGGCCCCGUGGGCCCCUCGGGUCCGCAGGGCUCCGUGGACGUGCCUGGCCGCGCCUGCUCCGGGCCUCCCAGCGGCGUCUGCGCCCACCGGCGGCCACCUGCGCACAAGCCCCCACCUCCCCUUCGUCCUCUCUUGCUCGUGAACGUGGGGCCUCAGUUUCCCCAUCCGUGCAGCGAGUGUGGAAGAGCUCGGAUAGCCGGGAGCCCUUGCGGCCUGAGUACUCGGGGUCCUUUCCACCGCCGCGGAGCCAGGACCCGCCGGCCGAGAUGCGCGUGUUGCGCGCGCCCUCUAGUGCCCAGUCCUCGCAGCUGCGCGGUCGUCGCGCAGAGGCCUGCUCCCCCCUUGGGAACUGAUUAAUCACAUUCAAGAGGGAAGGGGGUGGGAUAAAUAAACCUCAGAAUGCAUAAAUAAUAGGUGAGUGAUAAUGAGUGAGUGAACACUUGAAUGGAUGGACAUCAAAAUGAAAGCAUGCACAGAGUGAGUAAGUGAGCAGCAGAACCAAGUCAAUUAAUGGCCUUGUUUGUGACUGCUUUGAAACAUGUCAUUUGGAAUAAAAACUCAGACAGCU